UACAGAGGGGGCAAGCGUUAUUCGGAAUUAUUGGGCGUAAAGGGCGCGUAGGCGGCUUUUCAAGUGACGGGUGAAAUCCCUCGGCUUAACCGAGGAACUGCCUGUCAGACUGGGAGGCUUGAGACCGGGAGAGGUGAGUGGAAUUCCCAGUGUAGCGGUGAAAUGCGUAGAUAUUGGGAGGAACACCAGUGGCGAAGGCGGCUCACUGGACCGGUACUGACGCUGAUGCGCGAAAGCGUGGGGAGCAAACAGG
rnacentral:rRNA from 1 species